UAAUCUGACCACUUACCACCCCAUCAGUCUACUUUCAAUCAUCAAAUUGUUCGACGUGUCUUUGACAGUGCUGUCAGUGGCACUUACUGAGCAAUAACUUGCUCAAUGGCGAUAAGGUUAGGUGUUACCAGACUCCAAACUUAAUAUGGCCUUGGACCAAACAUGAUCCAAAGAGCUGAAAUCAAAAUGUUAGCAAUGAAUGACUGCUUUUGACAUCAAGGCAGCAUUUGACUGAGUGUUAUAUCAAGGAGACCUUGCAAAAUUUAAUUCGUUGGGAAUCCGUGGAAACUGCCCACUGGUUUGGCAUAUCUAGCACAGAAGAAGGUGAGUUUGAUUGUAGCAGACUGAUCAUCUGAGUUCAAGGACAAGCAGGUGGCGAUGGCAUCCUCGAACUUCUCAAGUGCCUUCCUUACCAAUGAACCUGUUUUGGAGAAAUCAUUUGGGUUUGUAAGUUCUGGAGUUGACACUGAUGGUCUGAAGUUUGGCUGAACCUGGUUUUCCACUGCCCCAUUUGUUGGAACCUCUUUGAAUACCAUGUUACACAACAAAAACAAAUUUGCUAUUCUUUAGCUUCUCUAGAUGCUGCUUCGUAGAAUCGUUGAAUCCUUACAGUGCUGAAAAAGGCCAUUUGGCCCAUCAAGUCUGGACCAGCCCUGCAAGAACAGUCACAGUCAUCGUUGACCUGAAUAAGGGACAGAUGUUGAUACUGAGUCUGUACAGAGGACACUCGGGCUGAUACCUGGUCUGAUUGGAGAGUCACACCAACUUUGGGUCUGAACAGAGGGCAUCUCGUCUGAAAAGAAGAUGGUUACACUGAUCCUGAGUUUAAAUAGGGGCAAUCACAGUGUUCCUGGGUCUAAAUAGAGGACACUCACACUGAUACUGGGUCUGUAUAGAGGACACUCUGGCUGAUACCGGUAUGAUUCGACAUGCACUGAUAUUGUGUUUUUACAGAGGAUCCUCACAUCAGUACUAGAUUAUAUUCCCUCCCUUCUUGCAUUUUUCUCCUCAUUUCCCUUUCCUCAUUGCAAGUGAAUUUAAUGAAUUGUGGAGAAAAAAAAUUAGAUUGGUUACAUUUAUGAACGCCAGACUGUCUUGUAGAAUUGGUUGGAGAACCCACUACUUAAAAAUAUGUUGUUCCUUUGUGAGGCAACAAGACACAACAUGGCAUAGAGAAAAAGACUUAAAGAAAUUAAAAUAAAGUAUGAGGGAGCUUUUUUCAGCUUAUCAAAUGCAGGGGAAGUAUCAGGGACUUGAAGAAAACCAAACAUAAUUCACUGAGUCAGAAGUGGUUAGCUUGACAUCUAUGAUUAGAGUGUAUGUUAUAAAUAGGAACUUGCCAGUAAUGAGACUGAAUGUGACAUUUUUAACUUUCUAUUGCUCUUUGCUCGAUUUUGCUGGGCUGUAGCAGAAAGCAGGAGACAUAUCUUUAAUCCAAGGUGUUGCCAGUUUUGUUAUUUGUUUCUUGAGAAGCAUGAACAUAGUAGUGAUUUGAUCAAAAUUUUUAACAUGAUCAAGAGAAUACAUUGACAGUUUAUUCAUUGUUAGUUUAUUCAACUAAAUCAGCUUUUUUAAAUUCAUUUGUGGAAUGUAAGUGUUGCUGGUUGGCCAGCAUUAAUUGCCCAUCCCUAGAUGCUUUUGAACUGAGUGGCUUGCUAGGCCAUUUCAGAGGAUAAUUAAGAGUCAACUGCAUUGCUAUGGAUCUGGAGUCACAUGGGCCAGAUCACGUGAGAAUGGCAGAUUUCCUUCCCUGAGAAAUAUUACUGAACCAGAUUUUUUUUUGCGACAAUUAGCAAUGCUUUCAUGGUCAUCAGUAGAUUAUUAAUUCCAGAGGUUUUUUUAUUGAAUUGAAUCUGCCAUGGUGGGAUUUGAACCCGGGUCCCCAGAGCAUUAGCUGAGUUUCUGUAUUAAUAGUCUAGCAAUAAUAUCACUAGGCCAUCAGUUAUGGAAUACCAUGAGUCACAAUUUCAAGUUUUAUAAAGCCUGAAUAGGUUGUUCAGGAGAUUGUUCUUUUUUCAGAGCAUAAUGAACCUCUGAAACAGAUUGCCAUCUUAUCUGGUGGAAGCUGGACAUGUUCCUUGCUUCGGUAAAGAUCACCUUGUACAAAAACUAAAUUGAGUAUUCCAUUACUCAGGGCAAUUGUAAUUUCUUGAAUUAGUUUGUUUGCCUAUGGGCUUCUGAGAGACAUUUUCCAUGAUUUCUUCCCUAAAUAGAUCCAGGGAUUGUGUCACUUUAUAUGCAUCUUUCAGGAAAUCACAUGGGAUAUGGAAUCUAUUUAUGGUGAUGUUCAAGAAUUAUAUUUAACAUGGAAACAGAACAAUAAGAAACAUUUGAACUUCUUUACAUGUCUGCAAAAUAUAUAAUUGAUUUUAAAAAUGUUUGAAAUCACCUUUUAAUUCUUGAGUAUCAAUUGUGAAGAAAUCAAUAGUAGUUUUCUUGAAUAAUAUGAAAUCUUGGCCGAUGUGACCUGCAACCCCUUGACCUGGAAGCUAUACCAACAGGAAGUUAACAUAGAAACAUUGUGUGGUUGGUAGACACAAAGCAGUGCUCCAAGCAAAUGAGAGGUUCAGCAAGAGAAGAACAAAGAAGGUACAUUUUCAAUGAGCUGUUUAUGUAAUUCUGGUAAAAUGUAUGUAGUGAUUAUAAUGAGGUCAGCCAGGUGGACCUCAUAGAAUAUGCGUUCCCUGAUUGGGGCUGUUAAUCUGGUCCAGUCAGCAAGCUUAGCUGACAGAUAAAAACAGGAGUGUCAUAUACUCUGACACCCUGGGAGUUGACUGACGAGGCUGUACCAGAGUAAAGGAUUUCCUAAUUAUAAAUAAAGAGUGACUUUGCAAUGA